CCUACGGGAGGCUGCAGUGGGGAAUAUUGGACAAUGGGCGCAAGCCUGAUCCAGCAAUACCGCGUGUGUGAAGAAGGCCUUAGGGUUGUAAAGCACUUUCAAUGGGGAGGAAUACCUGGCGGUUAAUACCUGUCAGACUGACAUUACCCAUACAAGAAGCACCGGCUAACUCCGUGCCAGCAGCCGCGGUAAUACGGAGGGUGCAAGCGUUAAUCGGAAUUACUGGGCGUAAAGCGUGCGUAGGCGGUUCGUUAAGUCAGAUGUGAAAGCCCCGGGCUUAACCUGGGAACUGCAUUUGAAACUGGCGGACUAGAGUUGAGUAGAGGGGAGUGGAAUUUCAGGUGUAGCGGUGAAAUGCGUAGAUAUCUGAAGGAACACCAGUGGCGAAGGCGACUCCCUGGACUCAAACUGACGCUGAGGUACGAAAGCGUGGGUAGCAAACAGGAUUAGAUACCCUUGUAGUC
rnacentral:rRNA from 1 species